CUUCGAUAAUGGCAAACCCACUGAAAAGUGGGGACGCAAAGCCACGGGCCUACCGUUUAUGCUGGCAUAAACCAUGGCAGCCGGGUUGCCGAA
rnacentral:ncRNA from 2 species